UAAGGAAUAUUGGUCAAUGGACGCAAGUCUGAACCAGCCAUGCCGCGUGAAGGAUGAAGGCCCUCUGGGUUGUAAACUUCUUUUAUAGGGGACGAAAUGCAGUUAUUCUUAAUUGUUUGACGGUACCCUAGGAAUAAGCACCGGCUAACUCCGUGCCAGCAGCCGCGGUAAUACGGAGGGUGCAAGCGUUAUCCGGAUUCACUGGGUUUAAAGGGUGCGUAGGUGGGUCUGUAAGUCAGUGGUGAAAUCUCCGUGCUUAACAUGGAAACUGCCAUUGAUACUAUAGGUCUUGAAUUAUCUGGAGGUUAGCGGAAUAUGUCAUGUAGCGGUGAAAUGCUUAGAUAUGACAUAGAACACCAAUUGCGAAGGCAGCUGGCUACAGGUAUAUUGACACUGAGGCACGAAAGCGUGGGGAUCAAACAGG
rnacentral:rRNA from 1 species